rfam:Nicotiana sylvestris Nsyl_contig48110, whole genome shotgun sequence.
UAGACAGAUUAUUGUAUUCGACUGUAUUCACGAUAUGUAUUUGUGAAUACAGUAACGUAAAAUAGCGCAAUUCAUAAUCUAUUCAGCUGUUUUUAAACGGAAAGUGAAUCAAUUAACAUAAUAGACUCCU